UACGUAGGGUGCAAGCGUUGUCCGGAAUUAUUGGGCGUAAAGGGCUCGUAGGCGGUCCAUCGCGUCGGGAGUGAAAAGCUGGGGCUUAACCCCAGUCCUGCUUCCGAUACGGGUGGACUAGAGGUAGGUAGGGGAGAACGGAAUUCCUGGUGUAGCGGUGAAAUGCGUAGAUAUCUGGAGGAACACCGGUGGCGAAGGCGGCAUCCUGGACCAACACUGACACUGAUGAGCGAAAGCCAGGGGAGCAAACGGG
rnacentral:rRNA from 1 species